rnacentral:lncRNA from 1 species
UUUUUUUUUGACUAGAUUUUUUUUUGAAAUUCAAAAAGCUCUCCCUUCCCAUUUUUUUUGAGAGGUAUUUAUGGGGUGAUUUGAGGGGGACGUGCGUACGAUUUGAGGGUGGUUGAGGAAAACGUGCGUAUGGGUGAGGAGGUUACGGGAUCGUGGGAUGGGGUCGUGGGAUGUGGGUGGUUGUAACCGAUUUGAGGGAAACGUGCGAUGAGAAUCCAGGAUUGUGGGAGAGAUUUUGUAUGGUCACGAUGGGAUUGUGAAAUAAUGGAUGGUUAUGAUGGAAUCGUGGAGAUAUUGGGUGGUUACGAUAGGAUUGUGGGAAUAUUGCGGAUUAGUCCUUUCCCUUUGCUCAUAUUACACCUUAGUCAAUACAAUAGAAUAUUAUAUGAUUAAAGCGGAGCAUUUUGUAAAUACGUGAAAAGGAAAGGGCUAAUAUGCUAUUUUUUAAUACCCGUUCGUAUCUACGAGAACGUCCCACUUUUCGUAAUUUAUGCUCCCGGUGCAUGAUAUAUUUUCAAAAUUUAAAUUUUAUCCAUGCACCUGGUGCAUGGAUAAUCUCAUAAACCAUCUCUAUUUUCUAUUUCUUUCUCUCCCCUUUUUUUUUCUUUUUUUCCUCUUUUAUUCCUCUCUCUUUUUUUUUUAUGCUUCAACAGUAUGUAUAGUGAACUGAAACCUCUCUUAAGUAGAGGAAUUCAUGUAUGUGACCUAGUCAGUUAGUUUCGUGACUCUUAUCGUUUGAUGAUCUAUGAGGUCGGUGUACCAUGAGGGGUAGGAUUGUCGGCUAGUGGCUGACGGUAGUUUUGAAUUUUAUUGAUACAUGAUGUGACAUUCGUGUGACCUAUUGGUCGAUUCUUGCACAUACAUUUAGUUGACAUUAAGCAGUACUUGCAUAGUUUUGGGAGGAUGUUGAGUUGUUCCAUCCUAGAUGACCUGAGUGGUCGGUACUUGUGCUUCCUUACAGUUUAAUGACCUAUUGGUCGGUGUGCCCUCAGGGGCGAUGAUUGUCGGCUAGUUGCUGACGGUUGGCUAUUGAUCAUAUCCGCAUUGAUUGCCACAGCUCGAAUGCAUUUCACGUACACCAGCAAGUUGAACCCCCGCAGGAGGGU